rnacentral:rRNA from 1 species
AAAAUGUACCGGGGCUAAAACAAUUUACCGAAGCUGUGGAUACCUUUAUAGGUAUGGUAGGAGAGCGUUCUAUGUGUGAUGAAGGUAUACCGUGAGGAGUGCUGGAACGCAUAGAAGUGAGAAUGCCGGUAUGAGUAGCGAAAGACAGGUGAGAAUCCUGUCCACCGUAAGACUAAGGUUUCCAGGGGAAGGCUCGUCCGCCCUGGGUUAGUCGGGACCUAAGGAGAGACCGAAAGGUGUAUCCGAUGGACAACAGGUUGAUAUUCCUGUACUAGAGUAUGUAGUGAUGGAGGGACGCAGUAG